GCGCUCAUAGCUCAGCUGGAUAGAGCACUUGGCUACGAACUAAGGGGUCGGGAGUUCGAAUCUCUCUGAACAAA
rnacentral:tRNA from 1 species